CGGAGGGAUCAUUAAAGAGUUCUAUAACUCCCAAACCCAUGUGAACAUACCUAACGUUGCCUCGGCAGGUCGCACCUACCUUGUAGCACCCUACCCUGUAGGGCCUACCCGGGAGGUGCGGGUAAGCCUGCCGGCGGCCCACCAAACUCUGUUUGAUAUUGAAUUCUGAACCUAUAACUAAAUAAGUUAAAACUUUCAACAACGGAUCUCUUGGUUCUGGCAUCGAUGAAGAACGCAGCGAAAUGCGAUAAGUAAUGUGAAUUGCAGAAUUCAGUGAAUCAUCGAAUCUUUGAACGCAUAUUGCGCCCAUUAGUAUUCUAGUGGGCAGGACCGUUCGAGCGUCAUUUCAACCCUUAAGCCUUCGUUGCUUAGUGUUGGGAGCCUACGGCAACGUAGCUCCUCAAAGUUAGUGGCGGAGUUGGUUCACACUCUAGACGUAGUAAUUUUUUAUCUCGCCUAUUAGUUGGACUAAUCCCCUGCCGUAAAACCCCCAAUUUAUCAAGGUUGACCUCGAAUCGGUUCAGACAAACUCGCUAAAUUGAAGCAUCUUAGUCAGCGAAGGAAAAGAAACCAACAGGGAUUGCCCUAGUAACGGCGAGUGAAGCGGCAACAGCUCA
rnacentral:rRNA from 1 species